rnacentral:tRNA from 1 species
ACCGCUGUGGUGGAAUUGGUAGACACGACAGACUUAAAAUCUGUUUCGCCGAAUGGUGAGUGAGGGUUCGAGUCCCUCCAGCGGUA